GCCGCGGUCGCAUAGCCUGGUAUUGCGCAGGAUUGCUAAUCCUGUCCCGCUUGGGAUCGUGGGUUCAAAUCCCACCCGCGGCG
rnacentral:tRNA from 1 species